CUGCGUCUACCUGACAGACCGGGAGCAGUUCCUCUCUGCUACUAAGGUUUUCACUCCAGAUCCAAGAAAAGAGUGUCCUCUCAGUUUCUGUCUGUCUGAAUGUGGCAGCCAAGACUGAAUGAAGAAUACAGGG
rnacentral:snoRNA from 1 species